GCAAAAACAUCAACCCUUGUUCUGAAGCUGUUUAAAAAAAUUCACCCCAGGUGUGACGAAACAAAUGACAAUUUCCUGGGUAGCUUUUCACCUUUCCUAUUUGAUCAGCUGCACAGCACACUGUUUUCUGCUAAAUGCCUUGGACUCACGGAAACCUGGAGACCUCAUAAGAUGUCACAUAUACCAGCAAGAGUAACAGUAUUGUUUCAAAUUUUGGGCUCUUCCCCUGGACAGAUUCAAGCUGGCACUCCAACAGGAAGAAAGCUCUCCAAGGUAUUACUGUUUUUCCAAAGCAGCUAAUCAUCCAAGAGAAUAAUAUGAAAUAUGAUUAGCUCUAACUACUCCUCCAAUCUGUGGCUUAUUCAGUGCUCUUUGAAUUCAAAAUACAGUCUCCUUUUGACUUCAAAUAAUGUAACUCUUGUCUUUUGUAAUAAUUUUCUAAUAACCUCAGUCUCAUUCACUUAACAUGGUAAGCACUCCUAUUUUGUGAACUGUGUUUUGUUUUGAAUGCUCAACUCUCAUCUAAAUUAUGAGAAAUACUUGAAAAUAGCACCCUCUUCUUCUCAGCAUGUAGAUUUUUUUCCAUAAUUCUUGUGAAAUAAAAAUAAAUAUACGGUAAAAGAU
rnacentral:lncRNA from 1 species